AGAGUUUGAUCCUGGCUCAGGAUGAACGCUGGCGGCGUGCUUAACACAUGCAAGUCGAACGAAGAUACUUAAAAUGAGAGCUUCGGCAGGAUUUUUAUUUAUCUGAGUGGCGGACGGGUGAGUAACGCGUGGGCAACCUGCCCUAUACUGGGGAAUAAUCACUGGAAACGGUGACUAAUACCGCAUGUCAUCACGAGAAGGCAUCUUUUUGUGAGAAAAGGAGUAAUUCGGUAUAGGAUGGGCCCGCAUCUGAUUAGCUAGUUGGUGAGAUAACAGCCCACCAAGGCGACGAUCAGUAGCCGACCUGAGAGGGUGAUCGGCCACAUUGGGACUGAGACACGGCCCAAACUCCUACGGGAGGCAGCAGUGGGGAAUAUUGCACAAUGGGGGAAACCCUGAUGCAGCAACGCCGCGUGAAGGAAGAAGGUUUUCGGUAUGUAAACUUCUAUCAACAGGGAAGAAAGUGACGGUACCUGAAUAAGAAGCCCCGGCUAACUACGUGCCAGCAGCCGCGGUAAUACGUAGGGGGCAAGCGUUAUCCGGAAUUACUGGGUGUAAAGGGAGCGUAGGCGGCACGCCAAGCCAGAUGUGAAAGCCCGAGGCUUAACCUCGCGGAUUGCAUUUGGAACUGGCGAGCUAGAGUACAGGAGAGGAAAGCGGAAUUCCUAGUGUAGCGGUGAAAUGCGUAGAUAUUAGGAAGAACACCAGUGGCGAAGGCGGCUUUCUGGACUGAAACUGACGCUGAGGCUCGAAAGCGUGGGGAGCAAACAGGAUUAGAUACCCUGGUAGUCCACGCCGUAAACGAUGAGUGCUAGGUGUCGGGGAGGAAUCCUCGGUGCCGCAGCUAACGCAAUAAGCAC
rnacentral:rRNA from 1 species